UACGUAGGGGGCAAGCGUUGUCCGGAAUCAUUGGGCGUAAAGCGCGUGUAGGCGGCCUUGUAAGUCCGUUCUGAAAGCCCGGGGCUCAACCCCGGGAGGCGGAUGGAUACUGCAAGGCUCGAGUCCGGAAGAGGCAAGUGGAAUUCCUGGUGUAGCGGUGGAAUGCGCAGAUAUCAGGAGGAACACCAAUAGCGAAGGCAGCUCGCUGGGACGAUACUGACGCUAAGGCGCGAAAGCGUGGGGAGCGAACAGG
rnacentral:rRNA from 1 species